AUAUGAUGUGAUGAAAACUUGACCUUAGGCCGAUUUGUUUUGAUCGUUCUGGUCAAAUUCUUUGAUCGGUCGAUGCUAGGCCUCGUCAUAGUUACACUGAUCAUAU
ensembl:snoRNA SNORD46 small nucleolar RNA, C/D box 46